AAGGGUAUAGCUCAAGUGGUAGAGCAUGUGCUUAGCAUGCAGGAGGUGCUGGGUUCCAUUCCCAGUGCCUCCA
rnacentral:tRNA from 1 species